rnacentral:rRNA from 1 species
UACGGAGGGUGCAAGCGUUAUCCGGAUUCACUGGGUUUAAAGGGUGCGUAGGCGGGUUGGUAAGUCAGUGGUGAAAUCUUCAAGCUUAACUUGGAACUGCCGUUGAUACUAUCAAUCUUGAAUGUUGUUGGAGGUAAGCGGAAUAUGUCAUGUAGCGGUGAAAUGCUUAGAUAUGACAUAGAACACCGAUAGCGAAGGCAGCUUGCUACACAAAAAUUGACGCUGAGGCACG